GCAUUUCCUAGGAAGGAGGACCUGGUCAGAAAGGUAGGAACUCAUAUGAUAUAUUAUUAUAGUUUUUGUUCAUAUUCUAAAUAUAUAUAUAUAAUUUUUUUCCAGUUAACAUUUUUUCAAGUAACAAAGUAUUUUUUAUGGUAUUAGUUAACUGUAAUAACCUUACCUGACCCUCACCUGUCUGUCACGCAUCAGGUGUCUGUUCUUCUGCUCUGGGAUUGGAGGAUGGGCGUGUCCAUUAUGGUCAGCUGACCUCGUCCUCAUACAGAGAGAAUAAUCCUGCAGACGCAGGCCGGCUCAACGUCGUACCCAAUGUGUGAGCAUUUUAUGAUGAAUUAAGGUCAUAAACAUGUAUGAAUGCACAGAUGAAGAAAAUAUGACCAUCAUCUCAUCUUGCAAAUAGAAUAAACAAGAUCAACUACAACCUGUAACAUGAUGCCUUUGAUGACACUUGUUUGUUUCGGUGCUUCUCAGGAUGGUGAUGGAGCCAGGAUGGAGUCCGUUACCUGGAGACCCUCAUCCGUAUUUCCAGGUGGAUUUCCUGGAGCCCACCUGGAUUUCGGGUGUGGUGACGCAGGGCAGUGAACGCAUGUGGGGAUACCUGAGCAAAUACAGACUGGCCUUCGCUUUGGUGGAGAACCACUUCAUCAACUUCACUGAGACUGGAGACAGAGGCUCUCCUCCGAAGAUAUUUGAGGUGAGGGAUGGUCAGCCGGACGCCCGUCACACGCUGGUUGGACAGACUGGUCCGAGCUCGGUUUCUCCGGAUCAUUCCUGUAGAGUUUCGCCACACUUUCUAUCUCCGUGUGGAGGUGCUGGGCUGUAGAGGAGGUACAGCUGCUGCCUGCUGCUGUUUCUUUUUUAGUUUUCAUUGCUUCUCAGAGACCUGAGUGAAUCAAGUGACCAGGUCAUAAUUCAUGACAAAUAAAAAUAAAAAAAAUUGAUUUGACAUAAAAACAUUAUGUAUCAUAUUUUAAUGACAAUUUACUUUUUUUUUUUACAUUGUUACAUUGACAUUAUCAUGACAAUUAAACACAUUAAAAUUCCAAACAU
rnacentral:lncRNA from 1 species